rnacentral:rRNA from 1 species
UUAAGCGACUAAGCGUACACGGUGGAUGCCCUGGCAGUCAGAGGCGAUGAAGGACGUGCUAAUCUGCGAUAAGCGUCGGUAAGGUGAUAUGAACCGUUAUAACCGGCGAUUUCCGAAUGGGGAAACCCAGUGUGAUUCGUCACACUAUCAUUAACUGAAUCCAUAGGUUAAUGAGGCGAACCGGGGGAACUGAAACAUCUAAGUACCCCGAGGAAAAGAAAUCAACCGAGAUUCCCCCAGUAGCGGCGAGCGAACGGGGAGCAGCCCAGAGCCUGAAUCAGUGUGUGUGUUAGUGGAAGCGUCUGGAAAGGCGCGCGAUACAGGGUGACAGCCCCGUACACAAAAAUGCACAUGCUGUGAGCUCGAUGAGUAGGGCGGGACACGUGGUAUCCUGUCUGAAUAUGGGGGGACCAUCCUCCAAGGCUAAAUACUCCUGACUGACCGAUAGUGAACCAGUACCGUGAGGGAAAGGCGAAAAGAACCCCGGCGAGGGGAGUGAAAAAGAACCUGAAACCGUGUACGUACAAGCAGUGGGAGCACAGAGCAAUCUGUGUGACUGCGUACCUUUUGUAUAAUGGGUCAGCGACUUAUAUUCUGUAGCAAGGUUAACCGAAUAGGGGAGCCGAAGGGAAACCGAGUCUUAACUGGGCGUUAAGUUGCAGGGUAUAGACCCGAAACCCGGUGAUCUAGCCAUGGGCAGGUUGAAGGUUGGGUAACACUAACUGGAGGACCGAACCGACUAAUGUUGAAAAAUUAGCGGAUGACUUGUGGCUGGGGGUGAAAGGCCAAUCAAACCGGGAGAUAGCUGGUUCUCCCCGAAAGCUAUUUAGGUAGCGCCUCGUGAAUUCAUCUCCGGGGGUAGAGCACUGUUUCGGCAAGGGGGUCAUCCCGACUUACCAACCCGAUGCAAACUGCGAAUACCGGAGAAUGUUAUCACGGGAGACACACGGCGGGUGCUAACGUCCGUCGUGAAGAGGGAAACAACCCAGACCGCCAGCUAAGGUCCCAAAGUCAUGGUUAAGUGGGAAACGAUGUGGGAAGGCCCAGACAGCCAGGAUGUUGGCUUAGAAGCAGCCAUCAUUUAAAGAAAGCGUAAUAGCUCACUGGUCGAGUCGGCCUGCGCGGAAGAUGUAACGGGGCUAAACCAUGCACCGAAGCUGCGGCAGCGACGCUGAUGCGUUGUUGGGUAGGGGAGCGUUCUGUAAGCCUGUGAAGGUGUGCUGUGAGGCAUGCUGGAGGUAUCAGAAGUGCGAAUGCUGACAUAAGUAACGAUAAAGCGGGUGAAAAGCCCGCUCGCCGGAAGACCAAGGGUUCCUGUCCAACGUUAAUCGGGGCAGGGUGAGUCGACCCCUAAGGCGAGGCCGAAAGGCGUAGUCGAUGGGAAACAGGUUAAUAUUCCUGUACUUGGUGUUACUGCGAAGGGGGGACGGAGAAGGCUAUGUUGGCCGGGCGACGGUUGUCCCGGUUUAAGCGUGUAGGCUGGUUUUCCAGGCAAAUCCGGAAAAUCAAGGCUGAGGCGUGAUGACGAGGCACUACGGUGCUGAAGCAACAAAUGCCCUGCUUCCAGGAAAAGCCUCUAAGCAUCAGGUAACAUCAAAUCGUACCCCAAACCGACACAGGUGGUCAGGUAGAGAAUACCAAGGCGCUUGAGAGAACUCGGGUGAAGGAACUAGGCAAAAUGGUGCCGUAACUUCGGGAGAAGGCACGCUGAUAUGUAGGUGAAGUCCCUCGCGGAUGGAGCUGAAAUCAGUCGAAGAUACCAGCUGGCUGCAACUGUUUAUUAAAAACACAGCACUGUGCAAACACGAAAGUGGACGUAUACGGUGUGACGCCUGCCCGGUGCCGGAAGGUUAAUUGAUGGGGUCAGCGCAAGCGAAGCUCUUGAUCGAAGCCCCGGUAAACGGCGGCCGUAACUAUAACGGUCCUAAGGUAGCGAAAUUCCUUGUCGGGUAAGUUCCGACCUGCACGAAUGGCGUAAUGAUGGCCAGGCUGUCUCCACCCGAGACUCAGUGAAAUUGAACUCGCUGUGAAGAUGCAGUGUACCCGCGGCAAGACGGAAAGACCCCGUGAACCUUUACUAUAGCUUGACACUGAACAUUGAGCCUUGAUGUGUAGGAUAGGUGGGAGGCUUUGAAGUGUGGACGCCAGUCUGCAUGGAGCCGGCCUUGAAAUACCACCCUUUAAUGUUUGAUGUUCUAACGUUGACCCGUGAUCCGGGUUGCGGACAGUGUCUGGUGGGUAGUUUGACUGGGGCGGUCUCCUCCUAAAGAGUAACGGAGGAGCACGAAGGUUGGCUAAUCCUGGUCGGACAUCAGGAGGUUAGUGCAAUGGCAUAAGCCAGCUUGACUGCGAGCGUGACGGCGCGAGCAGGUGCGAAAGCAGGUCAUAGUGAUCCGGUGGUUCUGAAUGGAAGGGCCAUCGCUCAACGGAUAAAAGGUACUCCGGGGAUAACAGGCUGAUACCGCCCAAGAGUUCAUAUCGACGGCGGUGUUUGGCACCUCGAUGUCGGCUCAUCACAUCCUGGGGCUGAAGUAGGUCCCAAGGGUAUGGCUGUUCGCCAUUUAAAGUGGUACGCGAGCUGGGUUUAGAACGUCGUGAGACAGUUCGGUCCCUAUCUGCCGUGGGCGCUGGAGAACUGAGGGGGGCUGCUCCUAGUACGAGAGGACCGGAGUGGACGCAUCACUGGUGUUCGGGUUGUCAUGCCAAUGGCACUGCCCGGUAGCUAAAUGCGGAAGAGAUAAGUGCUGAAAGCAUCUAAGCACGAAACUUGCCCCGAGAUGAGUUCUCCCUGACUCCUUGAGAGUCCUGAAGGAACGUUGAAGACGACGACGUUGAUAGGCCGGGUGUGUAAGCGCAGCGAUGCGUUGAGCUAACCGGUACUAAUGAACCGUGAGGCUUAACCUU